CUUAAGAUAGAUAAAAAUUGAAUUACCUAAAUGUUUUAGUGAGUCUUAUUUCACACAAUUCACAUGGGAUGCUACCGGAAUAACUCGGGAAAUUGACCAAAUUAAGAACCUGACAAAAGGUUUACCAAAGCACUUGCUGAUACAAUGACUUAAAGAAAGAAAAAAAACAUAUUUACAGUAUGGAAGUUUUGAAUAAAAACCAGUAUAAAAUACACAUUGUCAAACUAAAUGCAAACAACAAACCAAAUAAGGCAAACCAAACAAAAUACGUAUAUUGGAAUCGUAAGCGGUCCAUAACGUGAUACGCCAUUUAGAACACAAACAACAAAUAUAACACAAAAUUCGCAUAUUGAAUACAAUGAAACAGAUAAAAUGGAGUGUUAAUAAAACUCAACGAAUAUGAAUCGUAGCAUAACGCAUACAACCAAACAAACAUAUCGUAUCGAAAACUAAAUGCAAAGAUAUGCGUAACUCUAGCGAAAUAUAAACCAACACGCAUUUGCAAAGUAAACAACAAUGAAAACGUGAAGCAAGUCACACAACAACCACACAUAGAGCAUGUAUUAAAUCAUAACAAACCAACACCUAAAACAAACUUGAAUAACCUAACCAUGAGUUCUCUAAUGUCUCAACAAUUCCUCUUCCUUUUUACAACUGUUUUAAUUAAUUUUUUGUUACAAAUUUAUAAAACAACAACAAACUGGUAGAAUGUUAUCUUCUUAAUAUGCAGUGCCAAGCUCAUUCUAUAUUAUCUAUUCUUACUAAAGUAACAACACACACCAUACUUUAUAUCACCACACCAUACUCUAUCAUGUGAAUAAAAAAAAACCGAAUAUUUAUCUACACAUACAUAUAGUAUUAAACACACUCAAACAAACACACAACAAUUGAAAGCAAAGCAUAAUCAAAUGUAUUAACAAAAAAGGUGCUUGAACAAAAUGCAGGUUUGAAACCGAAACCGUGCAGAGCCGACAACUAAACAAAAUUUGAUCUUGAGUUCAAAAACAAGCCAACACAUUUAAUUGCAGCCAAAUUAAUACGAGAACAAAAUCAAACAUUCUUAACACUUAACUGAAGAAAAAUCAUAGACAAAUAUAGCUAAAAUCACGGCUGGCAAAAAUUGAAUAUCAAACUUACCAGAAUUGAAAUUGACGGCAACAGAAUCUCAAUUGUUAAACUCAAUAGCUAUCGGAGCACGAUUAUGAGCUCAUGACGGCGACGUUGUUGUUUCUUGAGUGAAUGGCGGCGGAAUUGCAACGCGGAGAGGUGUGACAGGUUAUGUUGUUGUGAUGCUUUCGUCGCCGGAGCUUUCGAAUGGAGAGGGUGGAGCUGGUCCGACGGUGGUUGUAAGAAGGGCGUUGCAACGAUUGUGUUUUCCGGAAAUUGUAUGUGAUUGUGUGUGUUGUUGCAAAACACGUUUGUUCCAGUUUUGAGGGUUGUUUUAAAGAGAGGAAGAUAUGUGUGUGAGGGAAUGAAUUUUUAGGUGUUGUGUUUGACGGUUUUUUAUCUGAAGGGAACCACCCAUGCUCUUUGGUAGUAGCAGUAAAGUUAUGGAGAUUUUGAUAGAAGUCUUGUGAGAUUGAUGUGUUUGAGGGUCAGUUGAGAGGCGCCGUGAGAGGGUCAGAUUAUGGGGCUCAAGAGGGUCAGAUUAUUGUCCUUUGUAGCUUUGUGAUAAUGUUAACCCAAUAGCAGGAAUUUAAGUACGAGUAAUAGAAAAUGUGAUGAUGGUGAAUGAAAU
rnacentral:lncRNA from 1 species